rnacentral:rRNA from 1 species
CACGUAGGGCGCGAGCGUUGUCCGGAAUUAUUGGGCGUAAAGAGCUCGUAGGCGGCCUGUUGCGUCCGCUGUGAAAGCCCGGGGCUUAACCCCGGGUCUGCAGUGGAUACGGGCAGGCUAGAGGUAGGUAGGGGAGAAUGGAAUUCCCGGUGUAGCGGUGAAAUGCGCAGAUAUCGGGAGGAACACCGGUGGCGAAGGCGGUUCUCUGGGCCUUACCUGACGCUGAGGAGCGAAAGCGUGGAGAGCGAACAGG